rnacentral:lncRNA from 1 species
GAAUAAUUUGUGAUUAAGAAAGUGUUAUUCAAAUUUUAUACAUUUUAUAAAUAUUAAGUACUUAUUUAAUUACCUUAAAAGGAAGGCAUUAAAUAAAUACCCGAAUUUUUAUUAUUUUUCUAGGGUGUAAAAUUUUUAAUGCAUAAAGGAAAAUAAAACAAGCCUAACAAAAUUGGUUUCACUAAUUUCGGACACUCCUACAAAUUUCUGCGAUUAAAAUGGUGUAAAACGAAUUUAAACGAAUUAUUUUGCUAAAGGAAAUCUAAUUUUUCCCGAAAAUCACCCGGAAUACUUUUCUUACUCACCCACUCUCUACCCUCUCUCACGAACACUGGGCGCCACGGCGCGGACCCCACCUCGCCUAUUCCUUCUACCCGUCGGCGCUAUUCCUCCCCCCGACGGGCCCCGCGGGCCGAUUUUCUUUUUCUUCUUUCUUCUGCGGCCCAACACCGGCCCACGGCCUUCUUUCCUUUUUCUUCUUUUAUUUUGCGACGCCGGCUCGCGAGCUGUUCUGGCCUCCGGCCCUUUUCCUUUCCGAUUCCAG